rnacentral:rRNA from 1 species
AUUGAACGCUGGCGGCAGGCCUAACACAUGCAAGUCGAGCGGAUGAAGGGAGCUUGCUCCUGGAUUCAGCGGCGGACGGGUGAGUAAUGCCUAGGAAUCUGCCUGGUAGUGGGGGAUAACGUCCGGAAACGGGCGCUAAUACCGCAUACGUCCUGAGGGAGAAAGUGGGGGAUCUUCGGGCCUCACGCUAUCAGAUGAGCCUAGGUCGGAUUAGCUAGUUGGUGGGGUAAAGGCCUACCAAGGCGACGAUCCGUAACUGGUCUGAGAGGAUGAUCAGUCACACUGGAACUGAGACACGGUCCAGACUCCUACGGGAGGCAGCAGUGGCGAAUAUUGGACAAUGGGCGAAAGCCUGAUCCAGCCAUGCCGCGUGUGUGAAGAAGGUCUUCGGAUUGUAAAGCACUUUAAGUUGGGAGGAAGGGCAGUAAGUUAAUACCUUGCUGUUUUGACGUUACCAACAGAAUAAGCACCGGCUAACUUCGUG